UACGUAGGGACCUAGCGUUGUCCGGAAUCAUUGGGCGUAAAGCGCGCGUAGGCGGCCCGGUAAGUCCGUUGUAAAAGUCGAAGGCUCAACCUUCGAAGGCCGAUGGAUACUGCCGGGCUAGAGUCCGGAAGAGGCGAGUAGAAUUCCUGGUGUAGCGGUGGAAUGCGCAGAUAUCAGGAGGAAUACCCAUAGCGAAGGCAGCUCGCUGGGACGGUACUGACGCUGAGGCGCGAAAGCGUGGGGAGCGAACAGG
rnacentral:rRNA from 1 species